GGAGCUGUGCCUGAAGUAAAGGGCCACUUUGAUAGAGUGAACCACGGGGGUUAAAAUCCCCUCAGCUCCU
rnacentral:tRNA from 1 species